GACGAACGCUGGCGGCGUGCUUAACACAUGCAAGUCGAACGGAAAGGCCCUGCUUUUGUGGGUCUCUCGAGUGGCGAACGGGUGAGUAACACGUGAGUAACCUGCCCUUGUCUUUGGGAUAACUUCAGGAAACUGGGGCUAAUACCGGAUAUGAGCUCCUGCUGCACGGUGGGGGUUGGAAAGUUUCGGCGGUUGGGGAUGGACUCGCAGCUUAUCGGCUUGUUGGUGUGGUAGUGGCUUACCAAGGCUGUGACGGGUAGCCGGCCUGAGAGGGUGACCGGCGACAAUAGGACUGAGAUACGGAGCAGUAUGGUACCGGACGCAGCAGUGGGGAGUCUUGCACAAUGGGCGGAAGCCAGAUGCAGCGACGCCGCGUGCGGGAUAACGGCCUACGAGUUGUAAACCGCUUUCGCCUGUGACGAAGAGUGAGUGACGGUAAUGGGUAAAGAAGCAACGGCUAACUACGUG
rnacentral:rRNA from 1 species